GCUUUGUGUUGCCCCCUUCCUGUCAUUGCUGCCAGUGCUUGAUCCUUUGGCUAUUAUCCUCUGCUGCUCCUGCUCCUGCUCCUGCUCUUGCUGUUUGCCCGCAUUGCUCAUACGCCUCGUGUGUCCAUCUGUCAUUGCGUCUGUCCUUUGUCCUGCCAGUGCCACAUAUGGCAAUGUCUGCGUGCCCGUCCUUCGAGUCCAUUGCCU
rnacentral:lncRNA from 1 species